GGGCCCCGGAGAUGGGUACUGAGACACGGACCCAGGCCCUAUGGGGCGCAGCAGGCGAGAAACCUUUGCAAUGUGCGAAAGCACGACAAGGUUAAUCCGAGUGUCUCCUGCUAAAGGAGUCUUUUGUCAGUUGUAGAAUCACUGGUGAAUAAGGGGUGGGCAAGUUCUGGUGUCAGCCGCCGCGGUAAAACCAGCACCUCGAGUGGUCAGGAGGUUUAUUGGGCCUAAAGCAUCCGUAGCCGGUUGCAUAAGUUUUCGGUUAAAUCUAUGCGCAUAACGUAUAGGCCGCCGAAAAUACUGUGCAGCUAGGGAGUGGGAGAGGUACACGGUACUCGAUAGGAAGGGGUAAAAUCCUUUGAUCUAUUGAAGACCACCUGUGGCGAAGGCGGUGUACCAGAACACGUUCGACGGUGAGGGAUGAAAGCUGGGGGAGCAAACCGGAUUAGAUACCCGGGUAGUCCCAGCUGUAAACGAUGCAGACUCGGUGAUGCAUUGGCUUGUGGCCAAUGCAGUGCCGCAGGGAAGCCGUUAAGUCUGCCGCCUGGGAAGUACGUACGCAAGUAUGAAACUUAAAGGAAUUGGCGGGGGAGCACCACAAGGGGUGAAGCCUGCGGUUCAAUUGGAUC
rnacentral:rRNA from 1 species